UACGAAGGGUGCAAGCGUUACUCGGAAUUACUGGGCGUAAAGGGUGCGUAGGUGGUUUGUUAAGUCUGCUGUGAAAUCCCCGGGCUCAACCUGGGAAUGGCAGUGGAUACUGGCAAGCUAGAGUGCGGUAGAGGGUAGUGGAAUUCCCGGUGUAGCGGUGGAAUGCGCAGAUAUCAGGAGGAACACCGAUGGCGAAGGCAGAUCUCUGGGCCGUUACUGACGCUGAGGAGCGAAAGCGUGGGGAGCGAACAGG
rnacentral:rRNA from 1 species